rnacentral:rRNA from 1 species
ACACAUGCAAGUCGAACGAAGGCUUCGGCCUUAGUGGCGCACGGGUGCGUAACGCGUGGGAAUCUGCCUUGGGGUUCGGAAUAACUCCCCGAAAGGGGUGCUAAUACCGGAUGAUGUCGAAAGACCAAAGAUUUAUCGCCCUGAGAUGAGCCCGCGUAAGAUUAGCUAGUUGGUGGGGUAAAGGCCUACCAAGGCGACGAUCUUUAGCUGGUCUGAGAGGAUGAUCAGCCACACUGGGACUGAGACACGGCCCAGACUCCUACGGGAGGCAGCAGUGGGGAAUAUUGGACAAUGGGCGAAAGCCUGAUCCAGCAAUGCCGCGUGAGUGAUGAAGGCCUUAGGGUUGUAAAGCUCUUUUACCCGGGAUGAUAAUGACAGUACCGGGAGAAUAAGCCCCGGCUAACUCCGUGCCAGCAGCCGCGGUAAUACGGAGGGGGCUAGCGUUAUUCGGAAUUACUGGGCGUAAAGCGCACGUAGGCGGCUUUGUAAGUCAGAGGUGAAAGCCUGGAGCUCAACUCCAGAACUGCCUUUGAGACUGCAUCGCUUGAAUCCAGGAGAGGUGAGUGGAAUUCCGAGUGUAGAGGUGAAAUUCGUAG